GGUUCCUGAGCCCACCCCUGUCGUUGUGAUUGGUUCCUGAGCUCACCCCUGCCGAUGUGAUUGGUUCCUGAGCCUAUAGGAUGUCAUUUUGAAAUGUAUAAAAUCCUCAUUGUGUUUUCUGUAAAACCCGUGAUGAAGGUUGAACUGCGUUGGUUUGACUUUUAACACAAAGAAGCUUUUUAUCAGCUUCCACCGUCCCACUCAAAUACAUGCUGUUAACAAUACCUAUGGCUGUAGGGGUGGCCCCCAGGUGGGUUUCUGCAUUGCAGGUGUGAUUGAAUUACAUGAUCCCCAAACUUUAGGUACCUUCCUGCAAUGGUAACUAUGGAUUUAGUACACAAUGCCAACAGUCAAGUCAGGACAGGUCAUUUAAAAACAAAAGUGAUAUUUAAUUUAGCAGAGUGACUCUCCUCUUCUGUAGUGUGAGGUAUCUCUGGUGCUGAUCAGAGAAAUAAUGGGUGUAUAGUUAUAAUAACCUCUAGACAGUCACCUGGCAGACCAAUGUGGGGCAAACUGUUGACUGUCAUUGGUAGAAAGAUGGCAGCACUGUCUCUGGGACUGGUGAUGUCACAGCUGGUUGUCAGAGGUAAGUCUCCUACCAAAGAUCUAGAUCAGGAUAUGAAUAGAAUUCAACACAAUUGGUAAUACCUGGUAUUACCUGGGGACUUCUCAAUUACAAAAGUGUAUAAUUACUGUGUAAAUAUUAAGUAAUAACCUUUUUCAACAUCAAUUACAAAAGUGUAUAAUUACUAUGUAAAAUGUGUAAAUAUUAAGUAAUAACCUUUUUCACCAUGAAAUGUCUGAUUAAAUACCAAGUAUACUUUGGUAUGUCUCAAAUGAGCACUGGUUAUCGGUCUGUAUGUGACUCUAACUCUAGGCAGUGCGGUUAAAGUCCUGUCUCAGCCGGGGAACACAGUACAGUUUCCAUGUGACUACAGCUAUGAAGACCACCAGGACAUCCCACAGCUGUCUGUCCAGUGGAGAGGCCCAAGCAACACGCUCCUCUGUCACUACAUCAAACACAAGGCCUUCCAGAACUGCACCGAGGGCUACUCACUGGACUACACGCCUAGGAAGAUCACUCUGAGCAUCACAGAGGUCAGAACGCAAGACUUCGGAUCUCACGUCUGCUCUGUUAGCAAGAGACACGAGUUCACGGACUUUAGCAUCGAGCUAGCCGUGAAGACAGAUCCCAUCACUUCUAUACCGACGAACAGGUGGGCUCAGUCAGGUCUUCCUGAGGGACAUCUUGUUGUCCUUGUCUGCUCUGUGUUGGUCAGCACCUGGGGAUGAAAAGCAGAAAUACUGGGAAAAUAAAGAACAGAUUGAGAUUACAUUUUAAAAAUAUAAAUAUUGUAAUUAGAAAUAAUAAAGAAUA